CUACGGGCCGCACCAGUGGGGAAUAUUGCACAAUGGGGGAAACCCUGAUGCAGCAACGCCGCGUGGAGGAUGACGCAUUUCGGUGUGUAAACUCCUUUUAUCAAGGAAGAAAUUUGACGGUACUUGAUGAAUAAGCACCGGCUAACUCCGUGCCAGCAGCCGCGGUAAUACGGAGGGUGCAAGCGUUACUCGGAAUCACUGGGCGUAAAGGACGCGUAGGCGGUUUGAUAAGUUGGAUGUGAAAUCCUAUGGCUUAACCAUAGAACUGCAUCCAAAACUGUCAGACUAGAGUGAGGGAGAGGUGAAUGGAAUUAGUGGUGUAGGGGUAAAAUCCGUAGAGAUCACUAGGAAUACUCAUAGCGAAGGCGAUUCACUGGAACUUUACUGACGCUGAGGCGUGAAAGCAUGGGGAGCAAACAGGAUUAGAUACCCCCGUAGUC
rnacentral:rRNA from 1 species